rnacentral:rRNA from 1 species
CUCCUACGGGGGGCAGCAGUGGGGAAUAUUGGGCAAUGGGCGCAAGCCUGACCCAGCAACGCCGCGUGAAGGAAGAAGGCUUUCGGGUUGUAAACUUCUUUUAAGAGGGAAGAGAAGAAGACGGUACCUCUUGAAUAAGCCACGGCUAACUACGUGCCAGCAGCCGCGGUAAUACGUAGGUGGCAAGCGUUAUCCGGAUUUACUGGGUGUAAAGGGCGUGUAGGCGGGGACGCAAGUCAGAUGUGAAAACCACGGGCUCAACCUGUGGCCUGCAUUUGAAACUGUGUUUCUUGAGUACUGGAGAG